UGUGCGCCCACAUACUGGAGGAUCAACAUUAUCAUGGCAACCCUGAGGAGGCUGUGAGAGUCUCUGGGGUCCUUGCCGGCCUGCAGAAAAUCAAGCUUUGAGCGGGAAGCUUCGAGGAGACACAGUGUCACAAUUACAAGGUUCCAGCAUUUGGAGGCAAACAUGAAGCUCCAUCCUCUCCAAUUCUGGGGCAACCGUGUGGAGAUGAUCAAAAUGCUUCACCUUCAAAACUUUCAAAGGAAGAGUUAAUACAGAGUAUGGAUCGUGUAGAUCGAGAAAUUGCAAAAGUAGAACAGCAGAUCCUUAAACUGAAAAAGAAACAAGUAAAAGUCUUUGCCUAAUAUAUUCUAAGAAUGUAUUUUUUUCUCCCUACCGAAGAUAUUUUUGAGUUUUCCAUAUUUUGAAACAUUACAUAAAAGGAAUCAUUCCUUAUAUAUUCUGACUUGCUGUUUUUGCUACCAUUGUGGUUUUCUUACAUUCAUUCAUUUUCCUUGCUGCACUGUCCGAUUAUAUGAUUGUAGAGAGUGAAAUUUGUUUGUCCAUUCUAUUUUUUAUUUUUUUUU
rnacentral:lncRNA from 10 species